AUUGAACGCUGGCGGCAGGCUUAACACAUGCAAGUCGAGCGAGCGGCGGACGGGUGAGUAAUGUCUGGGAAACUGCCUGAUGGAGGGGGAUAACUACUGGAAACGGUAGCUAAUACCGCAUACUGUCAGAUGUUCCCAGAUUGGAUUAGCUAGUAGGUGGGGUAAUGGCUCACCUAGGCGGCGCUUCCUAGCUGGUCUGAGAGGAUGACACGCCAAACUGGGACUGAGAAAAGGUCCAGACUCCUACGGGAGGCAGCAGUGGGGAAUAUUGCACAAUGGGGGGAAGCCUGAUGCAGCCAUGGCGCGUGUGUGAAGAAGGCCUUCGGGUUGUAAAGCACUUUCAGCGAGGAGGCGUUACUCGCAGAAGAAGGAACGGCUAAAUCCGUGCCAGCAGCCGCGGUAAUUC
rnacentral:rRNA from 1 species